GAUGAACGCUGGCGGCGUGCCUAAUACAUGCAAGUCGAGCGAACAGACGAGGAGCUUGCUCCUCUGACGUUAGCGGCGGACGGGUGAGUAACACGUGGAUAACCUACCUAUAAGACUAGGAUAACUUCGGGAAACCGGAGCUAAUACCGGAUAAUAUAUUGAACCGCAUGGUUCAAUAGUGAAAGACGGUUUUGCUGUCACUUAUCGAUGGAUCCGCGCCGAAUUAGCUAGUUGGUAAGGUAACGGCUUACCAAGGCAACGAUGCGUAGCCGACCUGAGAGGGUGAUCGGCCACACUGGAACUGAGACACGGUCCAGACUCCUACGGGAGGCAGCAGUAGGGAAUCUUCCGCAAUGGGCGAAAGCCUGACGGAGCAACGCCGCGUGAGUGAUGAAGGUCUUCGGAUCGUAAAACUCUGUUAUUAGGGAAGAACAAAUGUGUAAGUAACUAUGCACGUCUUGACGGUACCUAAUCAGAAAGCCACGGCUAACUACGUG
rnacentral:rRNA from 1 species